CUGUGCUAGGUGGGGAGUCAGCGGUGCCCUGUAUCCGCAAUCCGCUAUAGCGGAACCGAACGCCUCCCCCGGAUCAGCGCGUGGAAGGUCUGCGCUCCGUAAGGAACGUUGAUCGCAAGGUCUCAUGCAACGGGCUGCCGUGAACCGUGUCAGGAUAGGGAUAUAGCAGCACUAAGCGGAUUUGUUCGUGUGCCAUGAGGUAGCUUUGCAGGAGUUACCUGCGGUUUUAACGCUUCGGCGCGCUGUUUCAAAGGAGGUCGCACAG
rnacentral:SRP_RNA from 1 species